UUCAGUGCCAUUACCAUUGAUUUUUUUGUUGAAAUUUCAACAUUUUUUCAACAUUAAUUGCGGGUGCAAAAGUGAUAUUGAUUCAAUACGGUUAACGUUGACACAUUAACAUUGAUUUAACAUUAUUUCGAUCAUUGCUUGCUAUCUGGGGCUGGUGCUUUUGUCAGGCGUCUUUUGUAAUGUUGUGUAGUCCAACUGCAUAUUGGUGGGCAGAAAUUGUGUACAUAACCUCUGCCAAAAAGGUGGGCUAUUCACACUUUGUGUUCUUUACAUAUGAAGCAAGAGACAUUUGUAUUACCUUAUGUGAUGAAACUACUUCACUGAUGGGUCUGAAUGUGUUGAUGUGUUUCUGUGAAUCUCAGAGGAGUUCAAGUUUCUCACUGUGUAAACAGCAGAUCUCCUCAGAUCCUGAUCGUCUCAUUUCUCUCCUUCAGGAGAAACUUUUUUAAUGGAGGAUUGUCUUUCGAUGACAUUCUCCUAACAGGACACUCUUGAGUUUUCUUGGUUCUCCAGAAUUGUUGAAGACACUCUUUACAGACACUGUGACUACAUGAUAAAACAACAGGAUCCUUGAAGAUUUCAUGACAUACAGCACAAAUAUAAUCAUCUUCAGAUUGUGAAGCCAUUUUCAAUGUUUCAACUCCAGCAAUAUAAACUUUACUUUGCUGUCUGAAUGAUGGUUUCAUAAAUGAAUCACCAUGAGAAUCACAAAGAUCUGCUGUCUGUUCAGAAACAAACUCCUCGAAAAUCCUUCUUGAAAGGGUUUCUCUUCAUUCAUUGAUCACUUAAUCUUUGUUGCUUUUGUCAAGAGUGAAGAAAGUCAGAAGAACAGAAAAGAGAAAUAAUAAACCAGUCUCUUGCUGGUAAGGGUGGAGAUUAUGAUCAUCUUUUGGGUCAAAGAACAACACGAUUCCUUUAGGUUAAAUUUUAACCAAACUAAGAUUGAAUCUCUCAAGUAUAAUGCUUGUAUAAACCUUGAAUCAAGCAUUAAAGGACAAAACAUUUUCCUCCUCUUCUCAUAUAUGGCAUGGCAGGCCAAACCAAAGGUUACCACAGACCUUAGUUUGGGCACCUCUGCACUAUAGGAGCAGCAUCGAUUGUGCCCUGAACCUCAGAAAGAAGAUCCUUCCUCAGGGGAAUCCACCAGGGUCCUCUGAAAGGCGUGCUGUCAUGGUCCAAUUCCAUACCAAGAAAAGAGAAGGACAGCUUGAUUUUCUCCCGGUUGACCUGAAGUCCCAGUCGGCUUAGUGCUCGAAGACUGUAUGUGUAUGAGUGUUUCAUUCUCUUCCCAUGAUAUCAUGUCAGAGAGACAGAAUAUCAGAGGAAGUUUUGUGAAAGUAGUAACUGGAUUUCUAACAUUGAUCUAAAGGAAGUUGUGGCCUACUGGAGCUAAAAAUGACAAUGAUAAGAGGAUGUAAAUUCAUGAGAAAGAAAGAGCUAGGCGGUCACAUGUAAUAACACAAAGAUUUGGUGGUUAUUUCACAACACUUUACUACAGCAGUAUCGCAUCAGCUCAUCUGUCAUUUUAUUGCUAAAGAGGUUUUGAAGAGUUUGUCUUUUCAUAUUUGUGGACUGAAAGCGUUGAAGAUGUUUCACCCUGUUUUGUUCUGUUUGUGUUUGUCGCGUCUGGUUGGUGCUACAACAUCAGUCCCACGGACCCCUUCACAUCCUCCAUGUCCUACUACACAUACUUCUGCAUGUUUUACUUCAUGUCUACCAUUCCCAGGUCCUUGGAUACCGUUAGUGGUGAUUUCUGCUGUCACUGGAACUCUGCUGAUCAUGGCUGUAACUGGGAUGUUUUGUAUCUGCAGGAAACACAGAGAUCAGACUCAUGAAGACAAGACUUAUGCAACUCUCUACAGACUCACUGGACACAUGACUGAAUCUGAGAUGACGGAGGUGAUUUACACGUGUUUCACCAAAGAACAAUGAUCAAACUCUCUGUGUGAUUCUUCUUCACAAUCACAAAUGAUGUUCUGAUCACAACAACUGCAUCUGUCUUUACAAUCUAUAACUGUUUCACAUAUAAUCUCAUUUGUUUUGUCAUUUAUAUUUCCUCUAAGUGAUCUUUAAUGAGUUUAUUGUGAUCCUGAAUGAUAAAUACUGAAUGUUUAUCAAAGGAUGCUUUGCUCACACUAGAUUAUUUAGUAUAACAUGCUCUUUUCUCCAUAUGUUUCUGCCUGCCCUCAUCAAUAAAGUUUUGUCACUCUGAGGUUCAA